CCCUUAGACGCUCUAGGCGGCACGCGCGCUACAAUGGGUGGUAGAACGUGUAACUGCUCCCGAAAGGGAGGGUGAACCACGAAUACUUACCCGUGAAUGGGAUAGUUUGUUGCAAUUUUCGGACUUGAACUAGGAAUCCCUUGUAAGAAUGCUCAAGAAUAGCGUGCUGAAUACGUCCCUGCCGUUUGUACACACCGCCCGUCGUUUCUUCCGACUGGUACUCAUUGUGAGUUGCAAGGAUUCUUAUUGAAAAAUUGCUGCGAAUGCUUUGUAUUGGAGGAAGAAAAAGUCGUAACA
rnacentral:rRNA from 1 species